AUUGAACGCUGGCGGCAUGCUUUACACAUGCAAGUCGAACGGUAACAGGCCGCAAGGUGCUGACGAGUGGCGAACGGGUGAGUAAUGCAUCGGAACGUGCCCAGUCGCGGGGGAUAACGCAGCGAAAGCUGCGCUAAUACCGCAUACGAUCUAUGGAUGAAAGCGGGGGACCGUAAGGCCUCGCGCGAUUGGAGCGGCCGAUGUCAGAUUAGGUAGUUGGUGGGGUAAAGGCUCACCAAGCCAACGAUCUGUAGCUGGUCUGAGAGGACGACCAGCCACACUGGGACUGAGACACGGCCCAGACUCCUACGGGAGGCAGCAGUGGGGAAUUUUGGACAAUGGGCGCAAGCCUGAUCCAGCAAUGCCGCGUGCAGGAAGAAGGCCUUCGGGUUGUAAACUGCUUUUGUACGGAACGAAACGGUCCUGGUUAAUACCCGGGGCUAAUGACGGUACCGUAAGAAUAAGCACCGGCUAACUACUUGCCAGCCGCAGCGGUAACAC
rnacentral:rRNA from 1 species